rnacentral:rRNA from 1 species
CAGGCCUAACACAUGCAAGUCGAACGAUGACUCUCUAGCUCGCUAGAGAUGAUUAGUGGCGGACGGGUGAGUAACAUUUAGGAAUCUGCCUAGUAGUGGGGGAUAGCUCGGGGAAACUCGAAUUAAUACCGCAUACGACCUACGGGUGAAAGGGGGCGCAAGCUCUUGCUAUUAGAUGAGCCUAAAUCAGAUUAGCUAGUUGGUGGGGUAAAGGCCCACCAAGGCGACGAUCUGUAACUGGUCUGAGAGGAUGAUCAGUCACACCGGAACUGAGACACGGUCCGGACUCCUACGGGAGGCAGCAGUGGGGAAUAUUGGACAAUGGGGGCAACCCUGAUCCAGCCAUGCCGCGUGUGUGAAGAAGGCCUUUUGGUUGUAAAGCACUUUAAGCAGGGAGGAGAGGCUAAUGGUUAAUACCCAUUAGAUUAGACGUUACCUGCAGAAUAAGCACCGGCUAACUCUGUGCCAGCAGCCGCGGUAAU